AUUAGGGUAUUUAGGAUAUACGGGAACUUGGCAUGACUUGUUCGGCCAGUUGGAUUUGACCGAGUUCACUAUAAAGUUGCGUUGCUUAGGCUUAGACAUCGCAGACAGACUCGUGGACCAGCGACUUCUUUAUUCCCGGAAACUCAAUCGGCUCUACAUGAAAUCAAGAUGGCAGCGAGAGAGCAUUCGAUUUUAGAUUUUUGUUGGAAGGAAUGACAAGAAGGAAUGAAAAGUCUCUACAAACAAAAGAAUUAAAUGCACAGCUGGCUGCUAAGGAUGCUGUUUAUGAUUGAGUACAUACUAAUUAAUGUAUCUGAAACAAAUUGGACAAGAGGACUGUUAAAGUGUUACUGUAAGGCUGAAAUGUAUGGUGAAUACAUUAGCAAAGAUACAUUGCUGGUAUUGGUGACAAUUUUUUUUGCCACAAUUAAGUUA